AAUCCAUGUUGUGGGCAUUGGUGAAGUAAACCCUUGUAUCAUUCUCAAGUCUCUAAAUAGCAUUCUGAAUCCAUUUACUAAAAUGUAGUGAUCUCGUCCUUAGUUU
rnacentral:snoRNA from 1 species